GACAGAGGCCGGCGGGGCGGGCGAGCCCGGCAGUGGGGGCCCCGCGCCCUGGGAGCGGGGGCCCGGAAGUCCUCGGCCGAUCGGCCAGUGCGAUUCCGGACCUAGUCGUCCGGGCGCCCGGGACCCCGGCGAUGGGCCUGAGGAGCCCGGGGUGACGGGAGGAGUCCGGGAGCCCCGGCGCUUCCGCGCAGAGCUGGGAGUGACCCGGGUGCCGCCGGGGAGGGGGCAGCGGUGCAUGCAGCCCGGAGGCCGCCGUAGGAAACCAUCGGAGCGUUGGGCGGCAGCGAUCGCAGAGAGAGGCUCCGCGGAGGAAGGGAGGGUCCAUCCCCCUUCGGAGGGGCGCUCUGGAGGCCGGGUCAUUUAGCCGAGGAGGAAGGAGCCGGGUCCUUUCCGAGGGCCAGGGGACAAGGAGGAAGCUCCAAGGGAAAGAGCAGCCCCGGGCUUACCGCAGAGAGGGCAGCCCUAAGACACCUGGAGCCUCCCAAAGUGGGAAUGAGCGGGUCCACCUGAGAGGGACGGGAAGAUUGUGCUCACCCAUGCACAGUGGGAUGACUCUCCAAAGAACUCACAUUGCUUCCCCAGAUACUUAAGGUAUAGUGCCCACUUAUCUGUGACUUGUCCAGAACUUCAUUUGCUCUGGAUAUUUCCCUCGUGGUGGUUGGUUCUGUGUAAUCUGCCUUUUGGCCUUGUGACAUCUGGUAGUACGGAAUGAUCACCUACUAAAUGUAUCAGGAGGGGCCCAGGAUUUAGCUCAGUGGUUCACGCCACCUCCCUCAAAAUCCAAAGGUCCCGAGUUCAAUCCCUGAUGCCAGAAAAAAAAUUUUUUUUCAGGAAUAAAGAAUGUAAAGACUUUUGGUCUUAAUAAAGACUCAACUUCCAAAUUUCUUACUAUAAGGUUUAAAAGUUGCAAAAGAC
rnacentral:lncRNA from 1 species